rnacentral:tRNA from 1 species
UAUAUUUUGGUGUAUGAUGCACAAAAGUUUUUGAUACUUUAAGAGGUAGUUUAAUUCUGCCAAAUAUAA